rnacentral:rRNA from 1 species
AAUCAACGCUGGCGGCGUGCCUCAGACAUGCAAGUCGAACGCGAAAGUCCCCUUCGGGGGACAAGUAGAGUGGCGCACGGGUGAGUAACACGUAGGUAAUCUACCUUCGGGUGGGGAAUAACAACCGGAAACGGUUGCUAAUACCGCAUAAUGCAGCGGCACCUAAUGGUGACAGUUGUUAAAGCGGGGGAUCGCAAGAUCUCGCGCCUGAAGAGGAGCCUGCGGCGGAUUAGCAGUUGGUAGGGUAAUGGCCUACCAAGGCGACGAUCCGUAGCCGGCCUGAGAGGGCGACCGGCCACACUGGGACUGAGACACGGCCCAGACUCCUACGGGAGGCGGCAGUGGGGAAUCUUGCGCAAUGGGCGAAAGCCUGACGCAGCGACGCCGCGUGAGGGAUGACGGCCU